rnacentral:rRNA from 1 species
GAUGAACGCUAGCGACAGGCUUAACACAUGCAAGUCGAGGGGCAUCACGGGAGUAGCAAUACAACUGGUGGCGACCGGCGCACGGGUGAGUAACGCGUAUGCAACCUACCUAUCAGAGGGGAAUAACCCGGCGAAAGUCGGACUAAUACCGCAUAAAACAGGGGCACCGCAUGGUGAUAUUUGUUAAAGAAAUUCGCUGAUAGAUGGGCAUGCGUUCCAUUAGGUAGUUGGUGAGGUAACGGCUCACCAAGCCGACGAUGGAUAGGGGAACUGAGAGGUUGGUCCCCCACACUGGUACUGAGACACGGACCAGACUCCUACGGGAGGCAGCAGUGAGGAAUAUUGGUCAAUGGGCGGGAGCCUGAACCAGCCAAGUCGCGUGAAGGAAGAAGGAUCUAUGGUUCGUAAACUUCUUUUGCAGGGGAAUAAAGUGCAGGACGUGUCCUGUUUUGUAUGUACCCUGAGAAUAAGGAUCGGCUAACUCCGUGCCAGCAGCCGCGGUAAA